CUACUUUUGAUUCCAAAGUGAAACGAGCCGAGGUUUGCCUGCCGCACCCAGAACUUUGCCCAAACCCUCUUCUGCACUUUCCCCAGGGCUGCCCCCGGCGAGCCCAGCCCCCGGCUGAGCACUCGGACACUGAUCCCCGGUGCAGAGCUGGGGGAGCACUCAAGGGCUACCAGGUGGUUGGGUGUGGAGUUUUGGCAGCAAGGAGUAAUUAACAUGGAGACAAAAGCUGCCGCUGAAAUUCGCUGUGGCCGCUGCUUCUUCCCGCUUUAAUCCCAGACCUCCAGUCAUUGGGCAGCUCCUCAGAGGCAAGAAGUCAACACCAUGGCAACCCGACAAGCCUAUCAAAUCACCGGCUGGUGUGACAGCGGCAACACUGCAGGCAGGAGUGGGUUGGGCAGAAGAGCAGAGUGGCCGCCACGCUCAGGUGAUGAAAUUUUGUUCUUCUGUGCUGAUCUUUCUGCUGAUGUAUUAUGACAUAGUCUGUCAACAUGAACAGAUAUGUGAAAGGAGAUUGGGUGACUGAGACAUACAACCUGCAUAGAACUCUUCUUGAAUUUUAAGCGUGUUAUCAUGUUUGGAUACAACAAGUAAGAUUGUGUUUGCUUUAAGAUGCUGUAUUUUUUAUAUAAUUUAAGCCCAAGCAAAACAGGUGGACUGUGUGACAAGGCUUUCAGCAUCAGAGUGAGCUCAACCCAAAACACAUAUUUCAGAAUACCUUUUAAAAAUCCCUUUCACAUAAUAAGUUGAUUCCUUUCAGAAAAACAAAAGACCAUUUGCAAAAUAUAACUUUCUCGACAAAGAGGAGAAAUCCGUUCAUGCACAUGUGAUUAUCAAACAUAGCUAUUUUCUCCUAAAUUAAACAAUUCCACAACUGUUCCAUGCUUUUAUUGUCACAGAUGUUUUUAUUGUUUGGUGUUAGAUAUAUAUCAAGUACAUGAUUCUGAAGUUAGGUGAAAUAGCUAAGCUUUGAUAGUUUUCAUUUAACAUCAAAAAACUAGGCAUGCUACUAGAAAAGUAAAUGUAUUUAUCUGGGAUCUAAUAUUUAAACAUUAUUUUUACCCCAACAUACAGAAAUAAAUAAAUUUUACCCCUGUAAUUCAUUUUAUGCUUUUAUUUAAGGAAUAACUAUUUAUUUUGAAAAUAAUUUUUAUUUUUAUUUUGCUAAAUCAUACAUUGGAGUUAAUGUUUCAAUGAAAAUUAUUUUAUACUCCAAAUAUAUAAUCUUUGUAAGCUUUCCCACAAAUACAGUUUGCUUUAAAAAAUUGCUAGCAUGUUGUCAUACAUCCUCUCUUUUCAUCUUAAAUACAGAGAAAUAAAAGACCUUUGGUCAUUCUUGCAUUCUAAAGAAGGCUUCAUUUCAAAUAAAGUAUGAAUUUUGAUUUAGACACACAGAAAAAAAAUCUUUUAAGAUCUAUACUUCAACUAAUUUGUUAAUCUUGUGCCACUUUUAGCAUUUGUCACACAUAUAGACCAGGAAAUUGGCUCCAUCUCAUUCUAGCUCUGUAUUGAAUUAAAAACCUCCACUGCAAAGAAGAGCAUGAUGUGGGGAAAGAAUAAAUNNNNNNNNNNNNNNNNNNNNNNNNNNNNNNNNNNNNNNNNNNNNNNNNNNNNNNNNNNNNNNNNNNNNNCAAUAAAUAUAAGACUAUAAACUGUAAUUCCAGAAAGGGAAAGGUUUAAACAUUUUUUUCUGACUUUAAUAUACCAUUUUAAGUUUGAAAACUGAAAAUUAAAUCAUUUCAUUUUUUUUUAUUUUACUUUUUUUUUUUAGUAGACACCUUCAGUAUUAGAAAUGAAUCUAAAAUAAUGGAUCUUAGUCAUCCCUUCCUCUUGGUUAAUAUUAGCAGUUUUAGAUCAAAGCAAAUAAAACAUCAGCAGUGACAAACUGAGGAAAAU
ensembl:lncRNA